UAGGGAAUCUUCCACAAUGGACGAAAGUCUGAUGGAGCAACGCCGCGUGAGUGAUGAAGGGUUUCGGCUCGUAAAACUCUGUUGUUGGAGAAGAACGGGUGUCAGAGUAACUGUUGACAUCGUGACGGUAUCCAACCAGAAAGCCACGGCUAACUACGUGCCAGCAGCCGCGGUAAUACGUAGGUGGCAAGCGUUGUCCGGAUUUAUUGGGCGUAAAGCGAGCGCAGGCGGUUUUUUAGGUCUGAUGUGAAAGCCUUCGGCUUAACCGGAGAAGUGCAUCGGAAACCGGGAGACUUGAGUGCAGAAGAGGACAGUGGAACUCCAUGUGUAGCGGUGAAAUGCGUAGAUAUAUGGAAGAACACCAGUGGCGAAGGCGGCUGUCUGGUCUGCAACUGACGCUGAGGCUCGAAAGCAUGGGUAGCGAACAGGAUUAGAUACCCUGGUAGUCCAUGCCGUAAACGAUGAGUGCUAAGUGUUGGAGGGUUUCCGCCCUUCAGUGCUGCAGCUAACGCAUUAAGCACUCCGCCUGGGG
rnacentral:rRNA from 1 species